UACAGAGGGGGCAAGCGUUGUUCGGAAUUACUGGGCGUAAAGGGCGCGUAGGCGGCCUUCUAAGUCGAACGUGAAAUCCCCGGGCUCAACCCGGGAACUGCGUCCGAUACUGGAAGGCUUGAAUCCGGGAGAGGGAUGCGGAAUUCCAGGUGUAGCGGUGAAAUGCGUAGAUAUCUGGAGGAACACCGGUGGCGAAGGCGGCGUGCUGGACAGUGACUGACGCUGAGACGCGAAAGCGUGGGGAGCAAACAGG
rnacentral:rRNA from 1 species